rnacentral:tRNA from 2 species
GAGAACGAGAGGGCGGAUGUAGCC